CAUUAUGGAGUGCAAACCUGACUAUUUCUACAUAUCAAGUUGUACAACGCUGCAAGAGUUAAUUAUGGCAAAACAAGGCAAAAUUGUGGCCCUGUUGGUGAGAAGCGCAGAUUUGACUUGAUGCAAGCUGGGGAAGAUUUCCAAGUAAAAUUUGCAAAUUUCUUCAUUGGACAUAAUGAAGAUGACAUUGUCUCAAGCUUCUAAAGUCAUAAAUGCCUCAAAUCAAUAUGCUACAAAAGGCAUAUGGAAAGAUUCCAGCUCUAUCUCAUACCACAGUGACUAUUCAUUUCCUACUGGUAAUCACCCACUCAUUCCAUGGCUGCAAAGAGAAACACAGAGAAUGACCACAAGACUCUCUAAUAAUAAGUUGAAUGAUUCUUCACCCACAUAGUGAAAACAGGGAUGCAUCCUCUCUCCACCUGAAAUGAGCUACCUGAAAGAUUGGCAGCUGCCUGCAGAACAGGCACACCUUGCACUUAGUACCAGGUGAGCAAAGUUUUA